UAUGAAGGCUGAAGCAUAACCAGCAUUUAAAAGUAGUACAGACUUAAGUGAUGAAUGCAAAGUUUGAUAGAACAAUUGUUUUUAGCAUUGCCAGUGUGUCAACUAUUUAAUGCCAUGUGUACAUUGCAGUAUUAAAUCCAUGGCAAGAAUCUGCAAAACAUGACUUCUUGGGAGAUGAUGGCAAAAAACCAACUUAUUUUCAGGGAGCCAGGUUCUCAACCCUGACUUUCAGGAGUGAACAUCUGAGCUUUGCUGAAAGCUAUGGGAGCUAAGAGGUAGCAUAUGCUGUACUGAACCAAACCGGCUGUGAGGAAACUAAAACAUGCAGCUUAGAGAGUUCUACCUACUUUCCUUGGCCUAAGAAGGUGAAGACUACUGCCAAUGGUGUAGCAGCCGGGCAUUUCCGCUCUGCAGGAGUAGUUUUUCCCUUGGAAGCCAGCUGGGGAGUGAAAAAAAGAUGACCCUUCUGUGAAAUACCACAAUAGUACUAUAUAAGCCCCAAAGGCAACAGGAAAAAAUACAGAAAACUAAAACAUGCCAGAAGGUAACCACAGAAAAGCAUGCCCAGCAGCAAAACCAGACAACCGUGAAAGAUGCCUGAGAGAUCUUGCCCGCUGAAAACUUCUAAAAGACACUUGGAAAAAAUGAUAUUUUUAAGCAUAGUAAAAAGAUAACUCAUAAAAAAUAAUUUCUGAAUUUUCCAUUCCAUUAUUCUGUGUACAGGAGGGAAAAAACCUCAUUUGGCAAUUAUUGUGAAAUGAAGGGCAGGCUCUGAAGGAACUACAUGUGACCCCACUUGUCCCUCUUGCUACGGUUUCUGCCAUUACUCCUUCCCAACUUUGUACCUGCAGCACAGACACUGGGUGGCUAAAAAAUACUUCUAAGAUCAUUGAGUCCAACUGUAAAUCU